UACGAAGGGGGCGAGCGUUGUUCGGAUUUACUGGGCGUAAAGGGCGCGCAGGCGGCUUUGUUUGUCAGGCGUGAAAGCCCCGGGCUUAACCUGGGAACUGCGCUUGAGACGGCGAGACUAGAGAUCGGGAGAGGAGAGUGGAAUUCCCAGUGUAGAGGUGAAAUUCGUAGAUAUCGAGAGGAACACCUGUGGCGAAGGCGGCCAACUGGACGAGUACUGACACUGAGACACGAAAGCGUGGGGAGCAAACAGG
rnacentral:rRNA from 1 species